rnacentral:rRNA from 1 species
UGGGGAAUCUUGCGCAAUGGGCGAAAGCCUGACGCAGCCAUGCCGCGUGAAUGAUGAAGGUCUUAGGAUUGUAAAAUUCUUUCACCGGGGAAGAUAAUGACGGUACCCGGAGAAGAAGCCCCGGCUAACUUCGUG